rnacentral:lncRNA from 1 species
UAGUCUUGUUUAACUACAUUCAUUUCAAGUGUAUAAUUCAAUCUAUGGGAUGUAAAUCGAGUAUGUUGUUGUUUUUCUGCUUUUUGUCGCACGUUUCUACUAUUUGUUUAUAUAGUAUGUGAACUCAAACAAAUGGAAAGUGCCUGUGAGUAAUUAGUUUCAAGAAAGCGGUCGUUCACGUCAGGAAUAGAGGUCGUUAAGGAUGUACUUUCUUUUCCUUUUGUUCAUCUAGAUUGUGUUGAUGUUCAGUAUACCACUUGUCUAGUCUGAUCUAUGCAAGCCUACAUAAAGUACAAGAUCAAAAAGAAUGCAUUGAAUGGAUGUCCGGUUAUAUGUUUGUAUAUAAAAUUAUAUGGAUAAGCAUCUCUUUAAAUUAGAAAUAAACAACAUCUAGUAGCUCUUAAACAUAAGAUGUUCCUCAUCAGCUGACACAAAAGAUUUUCAAGGAAGCAUACUUAUCUAGACGAGGUCAAUGGUCGAUCAAAAAGGCUUAACAACCUAGGCUAGUGACCUUCAUUGCACUUUGAAGGAGAGUCCAAAUAAGGUUGGCCCAAGUGGUCAAGUCUAUGUCAUAAUUUGUGGUCGAGUUCUAUAAAAUUAAACAAGUAGACAUACAUACGCGUUCUACGUGGAAAUUUAUGUCGUAUAUGGCAUCCUACGUACAUCAUGUCACGUGGAUGCAUGUGUCUACUUUUUCAACUUUAUACAAGUUUAAGUACCUACUUGUGCACUUCCAAAAUUGAAGGAUAUAAAUAUCAGUUAAGAUCAAGUUAAAAGACACAUGUAUGUAUUAUAUUAAAUAUUAUACCCACAAAUAAUACAAUACAAUAAAAAAAAAUACUUAUUAAAGUCAAUGAUCCAAAUAGAGUUUGUUUAGAAGUAAUUACUUAGUUGAUUGUGACAUAACUAAAACUCAUUUGAUCAAGUUGUAGAAAAGUUAAAUUAAUAAUCAAUUAACUAACACACCGAAUCAAAUCGAGUGCCAAAAAGUCAAACAAACCGACUUUUAAUUACCUAUUGUUUCGUAACGUAUGGUAAUGAAUUGUAUUAUUUUAAUAUUAUGAUUUGCUAAGUAUUGGUCAUGCAUAAGAUAAGUAUCAAGAAAAUAAUAAUAUGAAAAUUAAUACGUAUAUUAUUUUGGAACAAGGGUCUGAAAAAUAUCUCAACUUUGGUCGGAUUUGUUGUUGCGAUGCUAAACUUUCAUAAGGUACCUAUUACCUUCCUAGACUAUUUUAAUACCGUAUUUUUUUACCCCAUGAACUAUUUAAUAGUGUAUUUUUAAAGGUAUAUAUGUGCCCACGUGGACAAUUACUACUUAUAAUUUUGCAUUAUUUUUAUGUCCACGUGGGCAAACAUAUAUGUUUAAAAUACGGUAUUAAAUAGUCUAGGGAGGUAAUAGGUCCUCAUGAAAGUUUAGUAUCGCAACAACAAAUCAAACCAAAGUUGGGGUAUUUUUUCAGACCCUUAUCCCUAUUAUUUUCUCUAAUAAUUUUUACCUAACAACCCUUGAAGUUGUUGAAAAUUUCGAAGACUUGAUGUUGCAGAGCCAAUAAUCCCGAGGUAAUAAAGUCUUUUAAGAUCGAAGUGAGGGUUGUUUGGUAGUUGAUUAGAAUUGUGCCAAAUAUUAGUAACAUAUGAAUUAGUUAGGAGAGAAUUUAUAUAUUAUUUUAUACAAAGUUUAGGUAUUCAUUAAUCAUAUAUUGAUUAUUGAUAUAGAACUUAUUCCACAUUCUAUACAUCCUAUACAAAAUAAUAUAUACAUAUAUUUUCUUAUAACUUAUACAUUAUUAAUUAUGCAGAUUUCCGAAUUACAAAUCAAAUAGUAUCAUAUAUUAACCUAAGAUCUAAUACACGCAUAACGACACUUUGACUUUUCUUCACCUUCUUGGCCAAGGGCUAAGUCAAAAGUCUUCUUAAAUUACUUGUUUUUAGUACCUACUCUUUAAUUUCUCUCAUUAAAAAAAAAAAAUAGGGUACAUUUUUUAUGAUUUCAAUUAGGAACAUGAUAAGAAGUUACCAUAAAGACUAUGAAUAAAUAGUGAAAAAAGGUGAAGUCUUGUUUUUCAUUAAGUCUUUAGAAAUCAUAACUUAUAUUCUUCAACAAUAAUGACACACACUUUUUCUUCUGAAAUUCACAAGUACGAUGCAUUUCUGAGUUUUAGAGGUGAAGAUACACGAAGAACAUUCGUGAGUCAUCUCUAUAAUGCUUUAAUACAAGGAAGAAUUGAUGUUUUCAAAGACGAUGAGCGUCUACAAACCGGAAAAUCAAUUUCUGACGAACUACCAAAAGCCAUAGAAGAGUCUAAAUUUGCUAUAGUGAUAUUUUCUGAAAGCUAUGCAUCGUCAAAAUGGUGUUUAGAUGAGCUUGCACACAUUAUGAAAUGUCAAAAGGAAUUGAAACAAAUUGUAAUUCCUAUUUUCUAUAAUGUGGAUCCAUCAGAUGUGCGUCAUCAAACUCAAACUUUUGCUGAGUCUUUUUCCCAACAUGAGGAAAAAUACAAAGACGAUAUCGAGAAGAUUCAAAGAUGGAGGGAAGCAUUUGAGGAGUCUGGGAAAAUAUCAGGGUAUCAUUUGCAAAAUUACAAGUAAGAUUACUUCUCUUUGUCUUUUUAACUGUCAAGUCAAACGUGCCAUAUAAAUUGAGUCAAAGAGAAUAUUUAAUUUGAUUUCUAAAGUUCGAUCUAAAUAGUUGUUCUUUUCAUUGUUACAUUUAGGGAUGAGGCAGAUUGCAUCAAAAAGGUUGUUGAAAGACUAAUGUCAGCAUUACAUAUUGAAUCUGAUGACGAUGAUGAUGAUGUCCGUGCCUUCAUACGGGGCAUGGACAAUAACUCUCCAAUUCUUAUCGAUGGAGGCAAAAUGGUAUUAUUUCGUUUAUAAUUUGAAUCCUCGUAGUGAAAUUUGAUAGAUAUCUAUCUUAUCACGUCCAUUAAGUACCUAGUUGCUAGUUUCAAAAUUGUGUGUUAGUUGACCCUUGAAAAUAUUGUUUCAAUUAUCAAUACAAAAUCCUAUUUAGUAAGUAAUAUAAUGAUCAAUAGUCUUUAAAAUACCAAAUAUUAUGUAUACAUGUUUUUUUAUAAAUGAUUAAUUCACACUUGACAUAUGUCCACAACUAAAUUUACAUAUUCAAUUAUAGUUUUAUUCUUUUAUUGCGUUAGUUUCGUAAAUACUAGAAUUUAGAUUAAUAAAUAACUAAUUGUUAAUGAAAAGGACCAAUGUCUAUGUGUACCGUGCUAUGUGUAUGAGUGGAACUGUGAAAGUCAUGUCAAGUGGGCAGGGUCAGUCCAUGACCGAUCCAACCCGACCUGAUAAGAAAGGGCGAGUGAUCACUAGCCUGCCCCAUUCAUAAGGGUUGUUGGGUGGUCAGGGUCCAGGCGCAGGCCACCUACUAGCUUGGCCCAUUCAUUAGGAUUGUUGAGUGGUCUCUAUAGGACCUUUUUCGAUUUGUUUUCUAAUUUAUGAUGUCCUAUGUUUGUGAUUUGUCUUGUCAAUCAGAGUUUUUCGUUAGAUAAGAAGAGGAAGAAAUGUUUUAUGAUAGCAGCAAGGGGACUUGAUAUUGAAUGGAGUGAUAAACCAAAGUAUUGGAAAUGGUUAUCUCACUCUGACUCCAGGUUUUAUAUAUUCGCAGUCCCUUUCCAUAUUUUAGUAUAAAAAUUGAAAUAAAUCAGUAAUAAUUAUUGAGCAAGGUUAAUUUUUAUUUUUUUAGAUUCGCGGAAGUGGCUAAACUCAAGAAGGUCUAUUGGCUUGAAAUUCAAGGCAAAAUUGAUUCUCGAAGACUAUCAAAAAGAACUAAAUAUGUUGUGUAUCUAGUGUUCAAAUUGGAAAAUCAAUUCUAUGGCCUUGAAACUGUUAAUGCAGUUGUAAGAUUUGUUGAUUCUAUGAGUAAAAAAGAUGCGGAGAAACGAGCUAGUGUUGUGCAUUUUGCAGGACGAGGACCUAGAGAAACGCUACCCUUCGAAAGAGCUGAUGGAUGGAUGGAAUUAAAAAUGGGAGACUUUUUCAAUGAUGCAGGAGAAGACGGAUAUGUUGAUGCGCGAUUAAUGGAAACUAAGAAACUCGAUGAAAAAAGUGGCCUCAUUGUUCAAGGAGUGGAGUUUCGUCCCGAAUGAAGAAGAGAAGAAUCCUCCUCUUACUAUCCCCUUUUGUUUUGGUCUCAUUUUGAUAGAUUCAAGUACUUCUAUAUAUAUAUGGCCCUUCUAGAGGAACGUACUGAUAGAGAAAAUAAAAUUUGAUUAGACAAUGUGUGUUUGUAGUAAGGUCGAUUUUUUAAACAUUUUAAUAUGAGUCUACAAGAUUUAGUUUCGUUCAAGUGUCGAGCUUAUUUGCAUCGACAUCUAGCUAGUUUAACAAAAUUCAUGUACUUUGGUUAUUUGUGUUUGUGUUCGAUCCUUGGUUAAAAUGACGCACUGGAAUUUUUUUACAGUCCAAAAGUGGCGCUACAUUUUUGUUUUAGAAGAGAACAUAAUAACAUUAUGAGUAUCUAUUUCUUCCCAAGUAACUUAAAACAAAUCAAAGCUUAAAUACUAUGAUCUUUAAUUUCCAUCUCAAAUUAUAUCUCAUGAUUUUUUAAAAAUAACUAUCUCAAGUUUUUUGUCAUUUUAGGAGUUCAAGAUAAAAUUAAUUAUUAUUUUCAUAUAUACAUAAGCAGAGAAAAUAUUUAAUUUAAAGAGAUUAUAUAAAUAAGUAGAGAAAUUUUAUCUGAUGCCGUAGGCUGGCAAUUAACCUCUAUAUUAUACAUGGGAGGGUGCCCGCCUAGUGUCAUUGUGCAUGUAUUAGAUCUCGCACAAGUAAUGUCAUAUUUUAUGACUUGAAAUAGGAAGAUGAUAAGAAGUUCUCAUAAAGACUAUGAAUAGUCUUUACGAUGCUUUUAUGAGUUUUAGAGGUGAAGAUAUGCGUAGAACAAUAGUUUUUAGAUUCAAACGAUAAGAACUUUGACUAACAUUUACGAUGUAUUUUUUAUCAUAUUGAUAUGCAAAAAAUUGCAAUUUAUAGUACUUUUCGUAUAGUUUUUGAAUAUCUAAAUUUUUAGUUUAAAAUAUUGAAUUAAUAUUGUAAUGACCCUCCUGGUCAUUUCUAUAUCUUGCCUUUUGUGUGUCGUUCAGAGCGUUCCUGUAGCGACCCCAAGUCAUUUAUGACUUGCUGGGACUGACAGUUCGGUCACCUGGUCGUUCGUUUGGUUAUGGUGUGAGUUUUCGUGUUUUGGAGCUUAUGAACCUUGAACGAUCAUUUUCGAUCAAAAGUUUGAGAAGAUGACACUGGAAUCCAAUUCUGACGAUUCCAUCAGCUCCGGAAGGGUCAUUUUAGGCGAGUAGCAUGGUCGACAUGACUCUCGAGGUUUUCAGUGUGAGUCGGUGCGAUUAGGCGUUUUAACUUUAAGUUUAAGCCUAAGUUUGACUUUGGUCAACAUUCUGAGUAAACGCGCUCGGAUGAGAAUUCCGUCAGCGUGGUUAGCUCCGGAAUGUCGAGUUUGGUCUGGGGACUCCAAAUCACUAUCCGAGCUCACCAACACGUUGUCCUCGAAAAAUCUCACAACUUAGCCUUUUGGAUCGCCCAAAUCGGUUGAGAGAUGAGAGAAUUAUGAGGGUUUGAAAUUUGGGAAAUGUUGCUGAUUUUCUGCAAUUUAUUGCAGAAAAUCAGCCACAUUUCCCAAACUUCAAACCCUCACAACUCUCUCAUUUAAAGUCCAAAUUCAGUGAUUCAAAGGAUCAUUUUGUGAGGUUUUUCGCAAGGAACGUGUUGGUGAGCUCGGAUAGUGAUUUGGGGUCCCAGUUUGAGGUAAUUUUCGUAAAAUACCUGCUGCCACGACCUUUUUUAUGAGCUUAAUUUUGGAAAAUUUUGAGACUUGUUUUCUUAGCCAUUCUAGGUCCGAUUUCAAUGAUUUUUGAGGCUAUCUUGAGUGGUUUUUUGAGGAGAACGUCGUGGUGUUGUCACAUUUCACUGUAGACCUCCAGUUUCUGGUAAUAUACUGAUUCAUCUACUGUCUCAUUUCUAGUUUUUGAGAAAAUUUGGGUUUUGGUUGCAUGUUGAUAUUGUGUUGUUCCCGAGUCCCGAAUUGUGUCCCAUUUUGGGACAUGAGCUGGGGGAACUGGUUAGGACCCACUUUUGGGGUUAAUUCCGGAAUUUCCAGUGCGGGUCCCACUUUCCCCGUUUUGACCCUGAAAUUGGUCCGUCUCCAUUUAUUGUGAUUUCAGUGUCUAAAUGACCGUAAUAAUGUUGUGACACUAUUUUUGAUAGCGGGGCAGCGUUACAUGGACGUUCGAAAAGGGAAAGCUCCAGAGAAGUGAUUUUGGAGAACGUAUGAUCGACCUACAGGUAGGCUACGGUUUCCCUUUCUUAGAUUGAGCUUGAGAGUGUGAAUGCAUGUUGAUUAGUUGGGAUUUGGGUUGGUAGUGAUUGAAUCAUGCAUAGGUGUUUAGAAAUCAUGUUUUCGGCCUAUUUUGGGAAUUAUUGGAUAGCUGUGAGCAUGCUUUGUGUUAUUAAUUGUCUCUCUUUUCUAUGUGGAGUACUUGUAUGCUCGAUGACUAUUUGUUGAAGCAUUUGGGCCGUAGUUUAGGUUUGACUAGGGUUUGCCUUAGAAAUACAUGAUUCAGAUCCGAUAAGCCUUAGUUUUGCCCCGACGCCACUCGAUCGACUUAGAUCCCUGUAGACUGGUGUAGUAGACUUGAGUCUGAUAGUUUGGGCAUUAGCUAGGCGAUACGUUUGCUCCGAUGAUAGUUAUCCUUAUUUCCCCGAUGUUACAGCUUCAAGAGUUACGUCGGUGACACUAGUUCUGCUUAGCGAUUUGAAUUUGAUUUUCGAUUCGAUUUCCAAGGACUUACAUUGAUUGGCUAGGUGUGGACAGCGAUCCACGGACAUUUAUGAGAAUAGAUCGAUUGGGACUCUUUCAGCAACUACAUUGGCACCUCUAUAAAGCAUCCGGUUAAAGUUCCGGCCUCUAUUGCCCAGAUACUUAUAUAUAGCAUCCGGUUAGAGUUCUGGCCUCUAUUGCCCAGAUACUUAUAUAGAGCAUCCGGUUAUAGUUCCGGCCUCAGAUACUUGAUACUUGUGAUUAGUUAGUUGGGUACUUCUGGUGAGCAUCCGGUUCGAGGUCCGGCCUCCGUACUGUUAUAUUUUACUAAUUAGGGUUGAGGUUCUGCUUCGAUGUUCUCCGUUCUUGGGUUCUUAUAUGCAAUUCCCUUUAGUUAUAGUUGUUCUGUGUACUCGUCGGGCUUAUGGGGGUCCGUUCGGGUUUUUAUUUAACUUGCGCACGAGUGUACCUUCUGGGCUUAUGGGGGUCCAGUUAGGAUAGUUAGCUUAUAUAUUACUUUAGUUAGUUCUUUCUACACUCGUGUGCAUUCCAAUUUUAGUUAGAUUUCCGUUCUUGACCUCUGUUUGUGUUAUUCCUUCUUUUCAUACUGUCUUUACUUUUCAAGUUCAGUCGGCCUAUGAUGCCUACUGGGUACCUGUUGUUUUGGUACUCAUGCUACGCUCUGCAUCUGUUUUGUGAUGCAGGUUCGGGCACUAGUAGCCAGCGUUGAUCGAGCUUAGAGCAGACUGAUCCGGAGACGGGAGUGAGCACACGGUCGUUUUGUACUAUUUCAGUCUCUAUCUGUAUAUAUAGACUUGUCUUUUACCUUCCGAGACAGUCCAAUCUCUGUUGUCCACUUUUGGGACUUGUACUCAUUUUGUAGUAGCUCUGUACUGUGACUUCCAGGUUCUGGAGGUAAUCUUUAUUUGUAUAUAUGUUUUGGUUUGCUUCUGCCUGUUUAUAUUGUUAUUUGCCUACUCUUGUUUAGUUUCUACCCUCAGACCCAUUACUUGUUGUUCCGGGUUACGGGCUGGCUUACCUGCUGGUGGGUUAUAGUAGGUGCCAUCAUGACUUGAGAAAUCAGGUCGUGACAAAUAUAAUCUAAUUUAACUUUGAAAAUUAGUCAAAUUAACUUUCGAAAAACGUAAUAUUACAACGAAAAAGGAACGGAGGGAGUAUCAAACAUAUGGUAUUACUUAAUUGUGCGAGAUCUAAUAUACGACGACGUACACUUAGAGGUCGUUUGAUAGGGUGUAUAAAAGUAAUGUUAAAUAGAGUGUAUUAGUUAUGCUUGUAUGCACUAUACAUAAAUUAUUUUUUAUUCAUUGUUUGGUUUGGUGUACAAAAAAUAACAUGAAUUGCAUAAAAAAUAUUUAUUUAUAAAAAUAUCCUCCACAAUUAGGAUGGAAAAGAUGUAAAAAGGAGUUUUGAGGGGUAAUUGAGUUUUUAACCAUACUAAUGCAUGUAUUGAAUCUCUUUGUGUUACUAAUACCUAAAAAUCAAUGAUAUUAGUAAUACAUUCUUUCAUACACAAUAAAGUGUAUAACUAAUGCGUGCAGAUAAGAUACUACUAAUACACAAAGUUAAUGCGUGCAUUAUUUUUGCUAAUACACUUUGCCGACACCACAAGACUUUUGUUGGCUAAGUCAAAAGUCUUCUUAGCUGUAUUUUGUACGACCUCAUUAAUGUAGGUUACAUUUUCAUGACUUUGAAAUUGAAACAUGAUAAGAACAUAAAGACUAUGAAUAAAUAGUGAAAAGAAUUGGUGAAGUGUUGUUCUUCAUUAAGUUGAGAAUUUCCCUAUUAGUUUUUGGCAAUUGUAUAACUAAUAUUCUUCAACAAUGUCACACACUUCUUCUUCCAAAAUUCAAAAGUACGAUGCUUUUCUGAGUUUUAGAGGUGUAGAUAUACGUAGAACAUUUGUGAGUCAUCUCUAUAACGCUUUAAUACAAGGAAGAAUUAAUGUUUUCAAAGACGAUGAACGUCUGGAAACUGGAAAAUCAAUUUCUGAUGAACUACCAAAAGCCAUAGAAGAGUCUAAAUUUGCUAUAGUGAUAUUUUCUGAAAGUUAUGCAUCGUCAAAAUGGUGUUUAGACGAGCUUGCACACAUCAUAAAGUGUCGAAAGGAAUUCGACCUAAUCGUAAUUCCUAUUUUCUAUAAUGUGGAUCCAUCAGAUGUGCGUCAUCAAACUCAAACUUUUGCUGAGUCUUUUUCCAAACAUGAGGAAAAAUAUAAAGAUGACAUGGAGAAAAUUCAAAGAUGGAGGGAUGCUUUUGCGGAAUCUGGGAAAAUAUCGGGGUACCAUUUGCAAAAUUACAGGUAAGAUUACUUUUCCUUUUCUUAUUACUCUCUGACAGUUCCAAUUUAAGUCUCUUAAUUUGACUGGAAAUGAAGUUAAAGAAAAUAAAGAGAUUUUUUUAUCUUAAACAAAGAAUAUAGAAAAAAGGCACUCUCUUGUGGACAAAUCAAAAAGGAAAGUAAAGACACUUAGCUUCCAUAUGGACAUGAAAUCCCAAAUUAUAUAUUAUUUCUUUUAGAAAAUUUGAAAUUUCAUAUCAUGAAUCAAAAUUGCAUGUGCAAACACAAAUUUGAAAUAAUGAUUUCAUAUCAAAUAUCCAUAUAUAAGCAUAAACUGAGUCAAAGGGAGUAGUAUUUUUUUAGCUUUGCCCUCAUGGGUAAUUCAAGAAACAUAGUGUCUUUAUGGUUGUGCAAGAAUAAUUAUAAGCAAUAAAAUAAGGCAUAGAAUAUAAUAAAAGAGAGCAUACACUAGGGUGCGAACUCUAAUCUUAUAUUCUCAUUGUUUCAAUUUAUGUGACAAAUUUUCUUUUUAGUUCAUUCAAUAAAAAGAAUAUUACAUUUCUAUAAUCAUAUUAGAUUAGAAAUAAGGAUAUUCGUAAUAAAAGAGAGUGACCUCCAUGGAGGACAAGAUGAAGGAAGCAAGACCGAGAUGGUUUGGACAUGCAUAUGAAAAGGAGAUGCACAGAUGCACCAGUGAGGAAGUGCAAGAGGUUGGUUAUACAAGGUACGAGGAGAGGCAGAAAUAGGCCAAAAAAGUAUUGAAGAGAGGUGAUAAGAUAGGAUAUGACCCAUCUUCAGGUUACUGAGGACAUAACCCUAGACAGUGGCGGAUCCAGGAUUUAGACUCCGUGGGUGCCAAAUAGACUUAUCGAUUAAAUUAAUUUUAUAUUUGAUUAAAUUAUUCGUCUUUUCGAUAUAAAUUAAUUUUAGUUCUCUAAUUUUUCUUAAAAGAACGUGUGCAACAAUUUCCUUUUUCUUAAAAAAACGUCUUUCUCAAAAAAAGGUACAAAUGGGAUUCGAACCCGCAACAUCAGCCUUCUAAAGUUGCCCUCCUACCGUGGCACCACAAGCCAAUUUUGUUCUGUGGGUGGCACGCUUUAUAUAAAUAUAAAUAUUAUAUAAAUAUACCUAUGUAUAUAUAGAGUUUCCGUCGAAGUUCGGGGGUGGCGUGGCACCCCCACACUCCUUAAUAGAUCUGCCUCUGACCCUAGAUAAGAGGAUGUGGAGGACACGUAACUCAUAAGUGCAAUAUGAAAGUAUAUAAACAGAGAAAGUACUGCAACAUUACACAAUAGUGUUGGGUUCAUAACAGUUGGUGUUUGUCAUUGUCAUUAUACUAGUAUUAAUUAUUGUAGUUCUUGUUUUUGUUAUUUUGAUUAAUAUCGCACUAUUUUGUUGUUACUUGUUAUAUUUUCAUCAUUGUCUCUGUUUUCUUUGUAUCUGCAUUUGUUGCACUUGAGCCAAACAUCUAUUGAAAAUAGCAUCUCUAUUUCCACGAGGUAGUGGUAAGGACUAUGUACAUUCUACCCUUCCCAAACGCCACUUGUGGGAUUUCACCGCGUAUGUUGUUGUUGUUAACUUUAAAAUUUCUCUUUUACCCUUAAAUAAUAUGAUUUACAAUCACAUAAAUGUUUAAGGUUCGUUUAAAACCACAAAUUUCACUAGGUAUUUUCUUUCUUUAACUUUGUUUCAUGUCAAACAAUGUCACAUAAUAAAUUGAGACGAAGAGAGUAUUUGAUUUCUAAUGUUUGAACUAUUUUCAUUGUUAACAUUUAGGGAUGAGGCAGAUUGCAUCAAAAAGGUUGUUGACAAAUUAAUGUCAUUAUUACAUAUUGAAUCUGAUGACCAUUACAACGACGAUGUUUUAAAGGGCCCUAAAUCUCCAAUUCUUAUUGAUGGAGGCAAAAUGGUAUUGUUUCUUUUAUAAUUUGAAUCCUUUUAGUGAAAUUCGAUAUAUAUAAUUUAUUUUGUUAUUUUCGUGAAUAUUAGAAUUGAUUUGUCAUUUAUUCGAUAUGUUUUCUAGUUUCUGAUGUUUCAUGUUUGUGAUUUGAUCUGUCGAAUAGAGUUUUUCGCUGGAUAAAAAGACGGGGAAGAAAUGUUUUAUGGUAGCAGCAAGGGGACUUGAAAUUGAAUGGGGUGGUACACCAGAGUAUUGGGAAUGGUUAUCUCAUGUGGACUCAAGGUUUUAUAUAUUUGUGAUUCCUUUUUAUUACUAGAAUAAAUUUUGAAAGGAUCUGAACUAUUACUACAUGCCUAUAAUUAUUGAGCAAUGUGAAUUUUUUUUUUAGUUUCGCGGAAGUGGCUAAACUCAAGAGGGUUUGUUGGCUUGAUAUUCGAGGCAAAAUUGAAACUCGAAGACUGUCGAAAAGAACCAAAUAUGUUGUUUAUCUAGUGUUCAAAUUGGAAAAUAAAUGGCAUGGCCUUGAAACUGCUAAUGCAGUCGUUAGAUUUGUUGAUUCUGUGAGUGACAUUGACGCAGAGCAACGAGCUAGUGUUGUACAUUUUGCAGGACAAGGACCUAAAGAGACGCUACCCUUUAGAAGAGGUGAUGGAUGGAUGGAAUUAAAAAUGGGAGAUUUUUUCAAUGAUGCAGGAGAAGACGGAGAUGUAGAUGCACGAUUAAUGGAGACUAAACAUCUCGGUGAUAAAAGUGGCCUCAUUGUUCAAGGAAUGGAGUUUCGUCCCGAAUGAAGAAGAGAAGAAUCCUUCUCUUACUAUGACCUUUUGUUCAAUUAGUACUUUUAUAUAUGGCCUUUCUAAAGGAACGUAUUGAUCGAGAUGAUUGAAUUUGAUUAGAAAAUGCGCGUAAGUGGAAGAAGAAAGCUGAGGAGGCAGUUGCAGAACGCGGUUCGUCAGACAAAAAUAUGAAAGCAUUUGUGGAUGAACUGAAAAAAAUCCAUGCCAAGAAACAAGUAGAAAAUGUCUAGUUUUGUUUAACUACAUUCAUUUCAAGUGUAUAAUUCAAUCUAUGGGAUGUAAAUCGAGUAUGUUGUUGUUGUUUUUCUGCUUUCUAUAGCACGUUUCUACUAUUUGUUUAUAUAGCAUGUGAACUCUAACAAAUGGAAAGUGCCUGUUUCAAGAAAGCGGUCGUUCACGUCAAGAAUAGAGGUCUGUACUUUCUUUUCCUUUUGUUCAUCUAGAUUGUGUUGGUGUUCAAUGUACCACUUGUCUAGUCUGAUCUAUGCGAUCCUACAUAGAGUACAAGAUCGAAAAGAAUGCAUUGAAUGGAUGUCUGGUUAUAUGUUUGAAUAUAAAAUUAUAUGGAUAAGCAUCUCUUUAAAUUAGAAAUAAACAACAUCUAGUAG